rfam:Trichobilharzia regenti genome assembly, scaffold: TRE_scaffold0056268
GCACUGAUGAAGAGUCCCAAAGUAGGAUGAAACAGCUGUCCAGUAC